CUGGCGGCGUGCUUAACACAUGCAAGUCGAACGAGAAGUACGUAGCAAUACGUAUUGUAAAGUGGCGCACGGGUGAGUAACACGUGGGUAAUCUGCCCUUGAGUUUGGGAUAACCCCGCGAAAGCGGGGCUAAUACCGAAUAAGACCACGGGGACCAAAGUCCCUGAGGUAAAAGAUGGCCUCUAUUUAUAAGCUAUCACUUGAGGAUGAGCCCGCGGCCCAUUAGCUAGUUGGCAGGGUAAUGGCCUACCAAGGCUAUGAUGGGUAGCUGGUCUGAGAGGACGAUCAGCCACACUGGAACUGAGACACGGUCCAGACUCCUACGGGAGGCAGCAGUGGGGAAUAUUGCGCAAUGGGCGAAAGCCUGACGCAGCAACGCCGCGUGGGGGAUGAAGGUUUUCGGAUUGUAAACCCCUUUCGACCGGAACGAAUCUCCUCUUGGUAAAUAAUCAGGAGGAUCGACGGUACCGGGAGAAGAAGCCACGGCUAACUCUGUGCCAGCAGCCGCGGUAAGACAGAGGUGGCAAGCGUUGUUCGGAUUUAUUGGGCGUAAAGCGAACGCAGGUGGUUUGGUAAGUCAGGGGUGAAAGUCCACAGCUUAACUGUGGCACUGCCUUUGAUACUGCCUUUCUUGAGUGCAUGAGGGGGAAGCGGAAUUCCGAGUGUAGAGGUGAAAUUCGUAGAUAUUCGGAGGAACACCGGUGGCGAAGGCGGCUUCCUGGCAUGUAACUGACACUCAUGUUCGAAAGCGUGGGUAGCAAACAGGAUUAGAUACCCUGGUAGUCC
rnacentral:rRNA from 1 species